UUUCCCUCACCGUCAUUCCAGCCUUCCAGAGAUCGCCGGCCGGUAAGCCGGUGAUCGAUGAGGUCACAUGGCGUUAGCUCAACCAACGCCUCAACAACUCUUCUACGAGCACGCCACGCCACGCCACGCCACUCAUGUACAGCAGCAGCUAGCACACGCACCACUGCAGUGCAGUGCGCCCUUUUUUCCUUGGUGCUAAGGCGGCGGCCAUGUGUCACCCUCACCAACUCCGGCGCGCGGGCCAAACGACGAGCGGCUGGGCAGCGAGAACUCUGCUCACCUGCUGCUGCAUGCGCGCGAGUGGGUGGUUUUACUCCUUUGUUAAUUAAUCGUGCGCCCCGCUAUCUCAUGGGUCAGCUUCAGAUCCGAAGCCGUUGGACUGCUCGUUCUUUGAUGAUUUUUUUGAUGGCCCGUUUGGAGAGAUUACUGCACGUGCUAUUCUGUUUUUUACCUAGAGUAGAAGUUAUCGAGCUUUGAUGUCGAUACUUCGAUGAUGAGUAAUUGGCACAUCACCGAAUGGUAACCUCGAUCGUCUUCCUUAGCCUUUUUUUUUUUAACUUACAAUCUUUUCAAGACUUUUACUUGCUCUCUUUUAAAGGAACUUUUAGUUUUCCAACUUUCAGUCUUUAGAAAAGAGCUUUCAAUGUUUUCCCAACUUUUUCUUAAAGAACUUUAAAACUUUUGAAAUGAGGUUUCCAGUUUUUUUUUUCCAACUUUCACUCAUUUAGAAAGAACUUUUAAUUUGCGCAGAACAUCUCGUUUCAAGAACUUCCAUAUUUCCAAACAAAAUUUCCCUAACAAAUCUAGUUGACUUUUGAUCAGAACGGCGAAGCUCGGCCAGCUUUGACUGCAUCGUGAAACUAGCGAGGCUAUGUAUUCCUAGAUCUGUCAGGCUGGAUAUGAAACGGUCAUCCAACUCUCUUCGUCACCUUCUUUUCCGAGACGGUGGACUGUUCUCAGAUAACUGUCAUCGGCGUCUUUUGGUUUCUACCGGCGACUUCCCGACUGCUAUGUCAACAACGUUUCUCUGAUUUCGAUGUGGUUAAGAGGUACAUAGGCAUCGUCGAGCUUCACUUACGGCAUGCCACUGGCGUGUGUAGAAGAAGAUCACGAUGUACCACACGGACUUGCUAUAAUUUUGUUUUACUUUAAAGAUUGUUUUUGUAAAGGUUGGUUUCCCUUUAAUAUAUUGGCCUUGGCCUCUCGGAAAAAAGUACUUGGCCGUAGUGCACGGAGUACUAUGGAGUAAUCUAGGAUUAAUUACGUGAUAAAAACGCACCGAUACAUGAGUAUCUCUAGGGUACUCUUGCUUCGAAAUUAAAAAACUUCUUGGAACUUCAAAUUUUCGUUCGAGAACACCUCUUGCUUAGGACACCGUGCUAAUUGUCUGUUUCAGUUAAAGACAAAUCGUGUUGAGUACCCAAGAAAUUAACUAGAAUUCCUCUCUGCAUCUCUAUGCCACAGCUUUGUCUUCCCAUGCAGUAUUCGAAUUGACUUGAGCUGGUCAUUAAUAUUUCCUCAUUGGGAUUCCGAGUAGACUUCAACAGGGGUCCGUGUUUAAGAUUCCAGCUGCUUUUGGUUAUGAAUUCCACGGCGAGCCAGCAUCCCUCCGAGUUCUUUUGUUUAAGGAGGUUGUCUGACAUUUCUGCACGGAAAUUUGAAGCAAAAAAAAUAAGAAGAACCGAAUUUACGGGUGAUAAACGAUCGUGUUAUUGAUUCCAGGGUAAAUAAACAUACUGAUUGUUUUUAGGGCAAAAUAAACAGGAGUACUAAUUUUAUUUUAUUUAGAACUUCUGAUGAGUGCUUGGGAAUGGGACAGGUGACGUCCGUGCAAAGGCAAAAAAAAGAAUUUUGAGCAAAAGUAGCAAAGGCAAAUAUCUCUCUGGUCUAGGCAGGCAUAACUACUAGACCCAUCCAUAAGGCCCAUUAAUUUAAAUAUGGGCCGCUACAUCCUGCUGCUUGGGCUUUGCCCUGAUUGUGUUAUUUUUUCGAGGAAGACCCACAUUGUGUGACGUCCGUUCUCACAGUCAGACAGAGCGGUCCGUCCCAUGCCUCUCCACGCACGAACGCGGCAAUGGCGCCCGCAGCCCCUCGUACUUCCCAAAAUCCCAAGUUCCCAGCUCUUUCCCCCAAUCCCCGAUCCCAUCUCCUUCUCCCCGAUCCCAUCCCCGAGCCGCCGCCACUCCCAUCGUGCCCGCAGCCCCCUCUCCUCCGCCGUCGCGCCGCCCCCGCCUCCGCUCUGCCCCUGUCCCUGCUCUCCUCCGCCCCCGCCUCCCCUAUGCUCCUUCGGCGAUGGCCGACGGUGAAUCGGAUACGGAUCGGCGCUGCUGCGCGAGAUAACGGUGGAGGGGGGCUUCGCCUUCGUGGAAUCGGCGGAGAAGGAGGCAGCGGGCGACCUCCGGGCGGAGGAGGCGUCACGGGAUAUGGCGUGGGAGCAGCUACACUCGCGGUCCUGCAGUGAGGUUGGCCACGCGUGGAGUGACGCCUACGCGCUGGCGUGCCUCCACAUCGCUCGGCUCCGCCGGCUGCCGCCGACCGCGCCCCCUGCGCUGGGGGCGCUCGACAUGGACGUCAUCCAUCUGCCCACAUAGAGCCGCCGUCCACCGCGCCGACGCCGCCCUCCUCCCCCGCUCCGUCCGCCGGCACCGCCGUAAUUUGCACGUCAGCCGCCACCGCGCAACGGCGAUCCGCGCAACGCGCAUCCUCAGCCGCCGUCGGACCGCCGCCGCACGUCCUCCCGCUGGCGCUGAUAAUGAUCGACUGCAAUCGGCUGCAAAAAGAGCUCGCCGAGUGGCAGGUCGGCCCUCCCACUGGGUUCAAGUACAAGAUUUUUUUUGGAGUUUUGGGGGUUCCUACUGAUUGAUAAUGGAGCUUGUGGAGCUUGUGAUGAUUAAGUAAACUGGUGGGUGAUCUAGGUGGGCAGAGCGGCCAGUCGAUUUCCCCGAGCAUUAACCCAUGGAGGCACCUCAGGCGAGGUCAUUUUCUUCAACCCAGCGCCGAUGCAUGAAUACAUCCACCCAUUAAUUCGAUGGGAUUAAUCUGAUGGUUUGUGAAGGCAAAGUUUGAUCCAUUCAGCUGAUCGAUGAAAGAGGUGUGGCUGGAUGGAGGAGGUAUCCUGUGAAGAGUUCGGUACAGGAGACGGCACAUCUUGAUGAUAUUUUUCGGGACAUUCAGGACAAUGAUGCCAAAUCGACCACAAUGAAUUUUUAACGAUAUAUGAUGCAUAAUGGAAAUAAUCCACUAGGACAAAAGGGACGGGCGCAGAUGAGCUUUGGUCUUAGGGAAGCAUUGAAGCUUGGCUAAUGUUAACUGGUGUGCACUAUCUUCCCACUUUUCUCUCUUCGUGCUAGAUGCUUUAUGUGGUUAUCUUCUCUCUUAACAAUCAUUGUUUGCUGUUGGUGGCAUGGUCAUUUGAUGCCCUAAUGAUAGCAAUGCUCGAUGGACCCUCAACCAAUAUAUUUACUUCUUUGAAUUUGUAAAUAAGUGCAAAAAUCUGGCACCUUUCUUGCCUGCACUUAUAAUCAAUCAGAGUAUUAAACCAACUGAAGAUUGGUUCAGGUUAAGAUCUGAAGUAGUCACUAUAUUAGCUAUUGUACUGUAGCAUAACUGAAAAUAUAAUAAGGGCAUCUACAUGGGAGUACAGAGUUUAGAAUUGCUGGGUAAAUAAAAAGAAGGGGGUUUCCCUCUGCAUGUCAUGAGUUCAGUUGACUCAGUGAUGUAUGUAAGGUCUAAUUUUUUAGCCAAAUUCCCAAGAAGGACAAACCAAAACAAAGCCUCGUUAGAACCGAAGAACAUGACCGAGGAUGCGUGAGACAAAGUACCAAUGAUGAAAUCAUGGUCCACAUAUGGGGAUACAGGGAUUAGAAAAGGAGAAAAAAACAUACGUUAGAAACAUUUAUUGAGAUGAGGCUAGCCAAGGCAUACAUGGUUAGCCGUAGCAACGCACAGGCUCCUAACUAGAGAUUUCAUCACCAUUCUAAUUUUAUGUUUCACUUAUAAAGCAACAUGCCGGCAUCUUGACAUGCUAAGUUCUUCUCUACUUUUCCUUCCUGGAAUUCUUCAACUAUAAUUUGUUUUGUCUUAUCUAACUGGACUCGAAUACUUUACUGCAGAAAAAAGGAGAAAAAGUGGAAUUCUUCAACUAUAAUUUGUUUCCUCCAAACAUUUGUGUAGUAUUUCCCCUUCUCUUAUAAUUUGACAAUCUUUUCAUUGGCCUAUGUUUGAAUCUGACUUGUGCUAACAGAAAUGUACUACUCCGUAUGUACUUUCAUGUUUGAAAUAUGAGGUUGCUCUUUUUGAAACAACCGUUUUUUUCCUCCAAAUCUCGCUAACCUCAUUAGGCCCCUGAUGUGUAGAGCCACUGUUCAGAGAAUAUGUUGCUUGAGUGGUUAGGAAAGGUGGGUGAGCUUGGAUUGGCAAUGGCUGGAGAAAGAAGUCUCGGAGAAAGAAAAAAGAAUAGUGGAUUAUUGAAUUUAGAUUCAACCGUUCAAAUUGUGACGGUUGUUUUACUACAGGAAUAGUCACAGCCUCACAAGACUAGUCGUCUCAUGCACACAUGUUCUAAAUGAUAUAUGUAUGGUAACUAAUUUCUUGGCAACUCAAGGGGUAAUUUCAGUGAGGGUGAAUGAACCAUCACCAUCUCAGAUCUUUAUAAGAGUAAAUAUUUUGUAUUCUCAGCUA